UGAGUAUGUGUUGGCUGCGUGCAGGAGUAAUUCUACAGCAGCUUUGUGUUGUCUCCUUCACGAAAAAGACCCGUCCCCAUCCUCCACCUCGGGGACAGCAGGAGAGACCUGAAGCCUUCAGUACAAGUCCAAAUAGGAUACAGCGAGAGACGAGGCCCUAGAAUGCAUCACUGUUGGUGUGCUGACAGUUGUCAGUGAAGAUAGUCCUCACGAAGGUCAAAGGAAAGUAGUAUCCCCUUGGGGGAAAGAAAAACCUUCCACCAAAACUGUUAACUCUGAAGAACAGUCUUCUGAGUUAGAACAGUAAAGAGCCAUCAGCCGUCAGAUAGCACUUUGUAAGAUUUGCAGCCAUUAAUGUUCUCCUGUUAUCAGUAGGGAUGG